UCCCCACUCCAUUCCCACCACGUACUACCGCGUGCUGCAGAGUGCCAUUUCUGACAACACUCGGGACAGUUCGCUGGCAAUGCCGAUAUGAAGCUGGCUCCCCCAUCGCGUCCCUCAAUUGAAUUAUUCCAAAGGCGAGUGAGGAGGACGUAAAUAAUUCAGAAAUCAGAAAAAUAUAAGAGAAACAGAAAAUUAAUGGAGAAAAUGUGGAAGAGUCGGACAAAUAAAAUAUCCAAAGC